UCUCCAGUGGCGCAGUUGGUUAGCGCAAGGUACUUAUACGACAGUAUUAUCUAAUGCGUUAAAUUGAAGAAAUGCCGAGGUCGCGAGUUCGAGCCUCGCCUGGAGAA
rnacentral:tRNA from 1 species